GAUGAAGAACGUAGCAAACUGCGAUACUUGGUGUGAAUUGCAGAAUCCCGUGAACCAUCGAGUCUUUGAACGCAAGUUGCGCUUGAAGCCAUUAGGCUGAGGGCACGUCUGCCUGGGCGUCACGUAAUGCGUCGCUCUCUCGCAGCUCGCCCCAUACGGGACGAGUGUUGCUAAUGGGGGCGGAGAAUGGCCUCCCGUGCGCCACGGCUCGCGGUUGGCCCAAAUGCGAGUACUCGGCGACGAGCGCCGCGGCAAUCGGUGGUUGUCCAACCCUCGGUGCCAUGCUGCGCGCGCUAGCCGCUCACUGUUACUCGACGACCCCAAUGCGUCGUAGCCACGACGCUCACAACGCGACCCCAGGUCAGGCGGGGCUACCCGCUGAGUUUAAGCAUAUCAAUAAGCGGAGGA
rnacentral:misc_RNA from 1 species